GAGUUUGAUCGUGGCUCAGAGCGAACGCUGGCGGCAGGCCUAACACAUGCAAGUCGAGCGCCCAGCAAUGGGAGCGGCAGACGGGAGAGUAACACGUGGGAACGUACCCUUCAGUUCGGAACAACCCAGGGAAACUUGGGCUAAUACCGAAUACGUCCGUAAGGAGAAAGAUUUAUCGCUGAAGGAUCGGCCCGCGUCUGAUUAGCUAGUUGGUGGGGUAAUGGCCCACCAAGGCGACGAUCAGUAGCUGGUCUGAGAGGAUGAUCAGCCUCACUGGGACUGAGACACGGCCCAGACUCCUACGGGAGGCAGCAGUGGGGAAUAUUGGACAAUGGGCGCAAGCCUGAUCCAGCCAUGCCGCGUGGAUGAUGAAGGCCUUAGGGUUGUAAAGCACUUUUGUUGGGGAAGAAAAGCUUCUGGUUAAUACCCGGGAGUUCUGACGGUACCCAAAGAAUAAGCACCGGCUAACUACGUGCCAGCCGCCGCGGUAAC
rnacentral:rRNA from 1 species